rnacentral:rRNA from 1 species
GACGAACGCUGGCGGCGUGCUUAACACAUGCAAGUCGAACGGAAAGGCCCUGCUUUUGUGGGGUGCUCGAGUGGCGAACGGGUGAGUAACACGUGAGUAACCUGCCCUUGACUUUGGGAUAACUUCAGGAAACUGGGGCUAAUACCGGAUAGGAGCUCCUGCUGCAUGGUGGGGGUUGGAAAGUUUCGGCGGUUGGGGAUGGACUCGCGGCUUAUCAGCUUGUUGGUGGGGUAGUGGCUUACCAAGGCUUUGACGGGUAGCCGGCCUGAGAGGGUGGCCGGCCACAUUGGGCCUGAGCUACGGCCCAGCCUCCUACGGGAGGCAGCAGUGGGGAAUAUUGCACAAUGGGCGGAAGCCUGAUGCAGCAACGCCGCGUGCGGGAUGACGGCCUUCGGGUUGUAAACCGCUUUCGCCUGUGACGAAGCGUGAGUGACGGUAAUGGGUAAAGAAGCACCGGCUAACUACGUG